rnacentral:rRNA from 1 species
GCAAGUCGAGGGGUAACAGGUAGCUUGCUACUUGCUGACGACCGGCGCAGGGGUGCGUAACGCGUAUAGAAUCUGCCUCAUACUGAGGGAUAGCCUUUGGAAACGAAGAUUAGACCACAUAGUAUCAUUUUACGGCAUCGUUUAGUGAUUAAAUGUUUCGGUAUGAGAUGACUAUGCGUCCUAUUAGUUAGUUGGUAAGGUAACGGCUUACCAAGACUACGAUAGGUAGGGGCCCUGAGAGGGGGAUC